CCACAUGCCCGGCCCAUGUUAUUAUUUUAAACUCAAACAGAAAAAAAGAAUUCAAGCAUGAGAUCCCAGAACAAGAGCAUUAAAGGAGAGAAAUGAAGUCAUGAAGACAACAAAAUAUCCGGAUAAAGGCAACUGACCAGACUUGAAUACUUAUCCCAAGAAACCAGGAACUGUUUACAUGUUGGUAUUUCCCAUUGCUUCCAAAAUCCAAGAAUCAUAGACCAUCGAGAACUGCUCUGUGCCAGGCUCAGUGUAAGGCUCAGUAGUCACAGACCUCUUCCUCAAUAAAGGUAGAUGUAAACACACUCCUCUGAGUCUCCUCUAUCAUACCGCUUAUUAGGUGAUAUUGUCAGGUACAUGCUGGGAACAUUAAGGAGGUAGGAGAUGGCAUCUUGGAAAGCUUCAGGAAUGAAGUGUGAAUUAAAUCUCAGAUAAUGAGUCACAGCUGGCCAGAUAAUUAGGAAAAGCAUAUGGACAGGCACAGAGGUACGAAGAGGGUCCCUCUUGGCAGAAUGAAGCAACAGGCUGCCUUUUGACUGAGGCUCCACAUUGGCGAAGGAACUUCGAUGUGUACACAGUCGCUGGGAUCAACUCACAGGACUAUUAAUAAAAAGGAAGAUAUUCAUCAUACAAAUCUAAACUCAUUUCAUCAACUGCUUGUGUUCAUCCAGCUCUUUCGACUCCGUCCAUGAACACUCUAUCUCCUCUCAACAAUGAUUUGGGCUGUGUUUUGGAUCCAGCUGCUUAAGAAGGAAUGACUGAGGAGAAGUCAAUUGGGCCAAAAUUAUUCUAGGAGGAUCCCAUCUAGGAUACCAUGCUACAUUUAGUCAUCGUGCCUUCUUAGGCUUCUCUCUGUUAUGACAGUUUUUUAGACUUGCCUUGUUUUUGUCAUAAGUCUUUUGUUGUUGU
rnacentral:lncRNA from 1 species